GAUGAAUGCUGGCGGCGUGCCUAAUACAUGCAAGUCGAGCGAACAGAUGAGGAGCUUGCUCCUCUGACGUUAGCGGCGGACGGGUGAGUAACACGUGGAUAACCUACCUAUAAGACUGGGAUAACUUCGGGAAACCGGAGCUAAUACCGGAUAAUAUAUUGAACCGCAUGGUUCAAUAGUGAAAGACGGUUUUGCUGUCACUUAUAGAUGGAUCCGCGCCGCAUUAGCUAGUUGGUAAGGUAACGGCUUACCAAGGCAACGAUGCGUAGCCGACCUGAGAGGGUGAUCGGCCACACUGGAACUGAGACACGGUCCAGACUCCUACGGGAGGCAGCAGUAGGAAAUCUUCCGCAAUGGGCGAAAGCCUGACGGAGCAACGCCGCGUGAGUGAUGAAGGUCUUCGGAUCGUAAAACUCUGUUAUUAGGGAAGAACAAAUGUGUAAGUAACUAUGCACGUCUUGACGGUACCUAAUCAGAAAGCCACGGCUAACUACGUG
rnacentral:rRNA from 1 species